rnacentral:lncRNA from 1 species
CAAGUGUGUAAAUAAACAAACAACCAAAAAAAACCACCCAGACCCCCAAGGCUCUAUUUAGAUGAUAUAGAACAUGUCUUCAUAGAUGACAUCUGUAUCAACUUAUACUUCAGGUCCUUCUCCUCCAGGAACCAGCAUUGUUAUGUUAUUUCCAUUUAGCAAAAUCUGGUCUAGUUUUGUGAUUCUUCUGCCUUCAGGCGUGAUCUCAAAUUCUGUAACGUCUUCUAACACCAUAUUGACAAAGUCAUCAAACCCUAGUAGCGUUCCAACAAUUUCUUUAUCACUCUUCAUCACGAUGUGGAUGCGAGAACCUAUACAUUUGUCCACAAGCUCGAGCGGCAGGAGCUGCGAGGGGUUGGUGCUCGCGUUGGCCGCCAUAUUGCCGCCAG